CCUACCCCUAGAGGCAUUGCAGGUUUGGCUACUGUGUCGCAUGUGUGUCAGUAGGUGGUAGAGAGGGGAGAGGCCAUGUUUAUACUCAGUGUCCUGACCUGGGAACAUUUCAAUGAUUAGUAGUCUAACACU